CAGUAGCCGCGGGAAUACGUAGGGUGCAAGCGUUAAUCGGAAUUACUGGGCGUAAAGCGUGCGCAGGCGGUUUUGUAAGACAGAGGUGAAAUCCCCGGGCUCAACCUGGGAACUGCCUUUGUGACUGCAAGGCUAGAGUACGGCAGAGGGGGAUGGAAUUCCGCGUGUAGCAGUGAAAUGCGUAGAUAUGCGGAGGAACACCGAUGGCGAAGGCAAUCCCCUGGGCCUGUACUGACGCUCAUGCACGAAAGCGUGGGGAGCAAACAGGAUUAGAUACCCCCGUAGUCCCUGUCUCUUAUAA
rnacentral:rRNA from 1 species